GACGAACGCUGGCGGCGUGCCUAAUACAUGCGAGUAGAACGCUGAAGGAGGAGCUUGCUUCUCUGGAUGAGUUGCGAACGGGUGAGUAACGCGUAGGUAACCUGCCUGGUAGUGGGGGAUAACUAUUGGAAACGAUAGCUAAUACCGCAUAACAGUAGAUGUUGCAUGACAUUUGCUUAAAAGGUGCAAUUGCAUCACUACCAGAUGGACCUGCGUUGUAUUAGCUAGUUGGUGGGGUAACGGCUCACCAAGGCGACGAUACAUAGCCGACCUGAGAGGGUGAUCGGCCACACUGGGACUGAGACACGGCCCAGACUCCUACGGGAGGCAGCAGUAGGGAAUCUUCGGCAAUGGACGGAAGUCUGACCGAGCAACGCCGCGUGAGUGAAGAAGGUUUUCGGAUCGUAAAGCUCUGUUGUAAGAGAAGAACGAGUGUGAGAGUGGAAAGUUCACACUGUGACGGUAUCUUACCAGAAAGGGACGGCUAACUACGUGCCAGCAGCCGCGGUAAUACGUAGGUCCCGAGCGUUGUCCGGAUUUAUUGGGCGUAAAGCGAGCGCAGGCGGUUAGAUAAGUCUGAAGUUAAAGGCUGUGGCUUAACCAUAGUACGCUUUGGAAACUGUUUAACUUGAGUGCAAGAGGGGAGAGUGGAAUUCCAUGUGUAGCGGUGAAAUGCGUAGAUAUAUGGAGGAACACCGGUGGCGAAAGCGGCUCUCUGGCUUGUAACUGACGCUGAGGCUCGAAAGCGUGGGGAGCAAACAGG
rnacentral:rRNA from 1 species